rnacentral:tRNA from 1 species
GGGGUCAUAGCUCAGUUGGGAGAGCACCGCGUUUGCAACGCGGGGGUCGUCGGUUCAAGUCCGUCUGGCUCCA